AUUGAACGCUGGCGGCAGGCCUAACACGUGCAAGUCGAGCGGCAGCGGGAAAGUAGCUUGCUACUUUUGCCGGCGAGCGGCGGACGGGUGAGUAAUGCCUGGGAAAUUGCCCAGUCGAGGGGGAUAACAGUUGGAAACGACUGCUAAUACCGCAUACGCCCUACGGGGGAAAGCAGGGGACCUUCGGGCCUUGCGCGAUUGGAUAUGCACAGGUGGGAUUAGCUCGUUGGUGAGGUAAUGGCUCACCAAGGCGACGAUCCCUAGCUGGUCUGGGAGGAUGAUCAGCCACACUGGAACGGAGACACGGUCCAGACUCCUACGGGAGGCAGCAGUGGGGAAUAUUGCACAAUGGGGGAAACCCUGAUGCAGCCAUGCCGCGUGUGUGAAGAAGGCCUUCGGGUUGUAAAGCACUUUCAGCGAGGAGGAAAGGUUGAUGCCUAAUACGUAUCAACUGUGACGUUACUCGCAGAAGAAGCACCGGCUAACUCCGUGCCAGCAGCCGCCGUAAGAC
rnacentral:rRNA from 1 species